GCACUUGGAAGAUCUGGAGUGGA
rnacentral:siRNA from 1 species